rnacentral:rRNA from 1 species
CCUACGGGCGGCAGCAGUCGAGAAUUAUUCACAAUGGGGGAAACCCUGAUGGUGCGACGCCGCGUGGGGGAAUGAAGGUCUUCGGAUUGUAAACCCCUGUCAUGUGGGAGCAAAUUAAAAAGAUAGUACCCCAAGAGGAAGAGACGGCUAACUCUGUGCCAGCAGCCGCGGUAAUACAGAGGUCUCAAGCGUUGUUCGGAAUCACUGGGCGUAAAGCGUGCGUAGGCUGUUUCGUAAGUCGUGUGUGAAAGGCGCGGGCUCAACCCGCGGACGGCACAUGAUACUGCGAGACUAGAGUAAUGGAGGGGGAACCGGAAUUCUCGGUGUAGCAGUGAAAUGCGUAGAUAUCGAGAGGAACACUCGUGGCGAAGGCGGGUUCCUGGACAGUAACUGACGCUGAGGCACGAAGGCCAGGGGAGCGAAAGGGAUUAGAUACCCCAGUAGUC